AUUGAACGCUGGCGGCAUGCCUUACACAUGCAAGUCGAACGGCAGCACGGGUGCUUGCACCUGGUGGCGAGUGGCGAACGGGUGAGUAAUACAUCGGAACAUGUCCUGUAGUGGGGGAUAGCCCGGCGAAAGCCGGAUUAAUACCGCAUACGAUCUACGGAUGAAAGCGGGGGACCUUCGGGCCUCGCGCUAUAGGGUUGGCCGAUGGCUGAUUAGCUAGUUGGUGGGGUAAAGGCCUACCAAGGCGACGGUCAGUAGCUGGUCUGAGAGGACGACCAGCCACACUGGGACUGAGACACGGCCCAGACUCCUACGGGAGGCAGCAGUGGGGAAUUUUGGACAAUGGGCGAAAGCCUGAUCCAGCAAUGCCGCGUGUGUGAAGAAGGCCUUCGGGUUGUAAAGCACUUUUGUCCGGAAAGAAAUCCUUGGCCCUAAUACGGUCGGGGGAUGACGGUACCGGAAGAAUAAGCACCGGCUAACUACGUG
rnacentral:rRNA from 1 species